rnacentral:misc_RNA from 1 species
UUCUAACCUUUUUCUGCCUUCUUCGUAUCUAUGGUGGAUUGUGUGAUGGUCACCUAACCUAAUUAUGCACACCUGAUGCAUCAGAAAUACUUUACAAUUGUUCACAUUAAUCAUUGAUUCCUGUAAUAACAUUAUUUUCUUUUACAUUUGUAUAUAACAUUAAUUAUAAUGCUGCAAUUCAGUGCGACGCUCUAUACCGCAACCGCCCGAUUCGCACCUCGUUCGUCCUGGCGUUUCACUGCUCUCAUAGCCAGUAAUUGCAGCACAGCAGUCACCAGUGAGCAUUCAGUUGCACCUGUGAAGGAAGAUCAUGGUGCUAAAUUUUCUAAAAUACAAAACAAUGUUGUACGAAAGGAAAAGCAGAAAUUUAAGAAAACGGAAACACAGACGAAGCUUUAUUCGCCAGGAAAAAAAUUUAAUAACAGCGAUGCCAUAUUUUUAAAACAGUUUCAAGCUGCUAAAUCUAUAAAUGACUUGCUGGAUUUAGCAACACUACCAAAUUUAUCUAUAAACAAUGCCUUGAAGAUUAUAUCGAACAUAACUAAUCAAAUAAAUAGCGGAAAGUCGCAAAUGGUUGACAUUGAGGCUGAUGAAAGAUUCGUUCACCUUAGAAAGAUUAUUCAGAUUGGUGAUAAUAUAAAAACAUCAGAUGAUAAUCUUUCGCAGUAUACUCAAUUGUCCACACCUGCAAUGAUUGAGGUGAUAGCAACUUUGAGAGAACAAGGAAAAAGGAAUACACCGCUAUUAAGGAUGCUGUCGUACAAUAUUGUUAAAUAUAAUGUGACAUUAAAUCUGAAGCAAUGUGCGACUCUGUUGUAUAGCAUGGCUGUACUUAGUUUUCCAGAUAAGGUCCUUUUGGAAAAAAUCACAGCAGAUCUACUGGAAUGCUUACCAAAAAGUAUCAGUGCAGCUACAAAUAGAUAUAUAGUAACAUCGCUAGGAUUUCUACAUUAUAAAAAUGAAAAUGUGCUCGACACAAUCUGUGAUACGCUCUUUGCAAAUUCGAUUAAUUACAAAUUUCAAGACUAUUCGUCGAUACUACAAACAUUUGCAGCUUUACAGUAUAAAUCGGAGCGAGUAAAUUCAUUUAUUGAGAAAUUCACAGAGGAAGCAAACCAAUUUCAAACAUCUUCCACUGAAUGGUUGGAUAUCGUUUGGUCCUUAGCAGUAUUAGGUGCAGUGAAGACACAACACGUCGAAUCUGUAUUGGAACCUGCAUUUAUGGAAAGGUUAAACGUUUCCUCCAAACUAAAUGUAUCAAAGAAAUUAAAAUUAUUAAAUAUCAACGGCGUUGCGCAGUUUGUCCUGAAAGAUUAUAAAGGGCCUCUGUUGAAUACAGAUUCUGAAGUAUUUAAAAAUAUAUCUUUGGUUAGAGCAAAAGAAAAGCAAAUGUACAUAGAUGCGUUGUUGGAAACAUUAAAGAAACUAUUGCCAUCUCAAUCUUACUUUAAAGCCAAUUUUGAUACAAAUAUGGGCUUUUACUAGAUGCAGAAUAUCGUAUAAAUGAUCAACAUAAACUUGUAAAAGUGGAAAAUUGGGAUGAACAAUCCACAAAUGUAAAGAGGAUAGGAAUAAUGAUUCACGAUUACCACGACUAUUGUCGAGGACAGACCGAUCUCAUAGGAUCGACAUAUUUAUAUACAGAAUUAUUAAAAGCCAGAGGAUACGACCUUAUAACAAUUUCGUAUGAAAACUUCAGCAUA